GUAAUGGAAAAGAUCAUAGAUUCAACUAAUGGUGAGUAUUCUAGAGUAUUUGACUACCACCUGGAGUUACUUAGGAGCAAUCCUGGAAGUACUGUUGCAGUCACAUUGGACCCUGAUGUACAUGAUAGACAUGUAUUUGAGAGGACGUAUGUUUGUCUAGAUGAUUGCAAGAAAGGUUUUAUGGCUGGAUGUAGAAGAGUUGUUGGGUUAGAUGGUUGUUUCCUCAAGGGGACAGUGCAUGGACAAAUUCUUUGUACUAUCGGGAGAGAUGCCAACAACCAAAUGUACCCAAUUGCAUGGGCAACUGUUGAGGUUGAUAGUUAUGACAGUUGGUACUGGUUUCUGUCAUUUCUUCAGAAGGACAUUCAGAUUAAUCAUCAUGGUGAUGGCUGGGUUUUCAUCUCUGGCCAACACAAGGGCCUCACCAGAGCAGUAAAUGAAAUAUGUCCACAAGCAGAGCAUAGAAUGUGUGGUAGGCACAUCUAUGCAAACUGGAGAAAGCAACACAAGGAGAAGAUCUAUCAGAAAAUUUUCUGGGCAUGUGCAAAAGCCUCUGACAAAACAGGAUUCAACUGUCAUAGAGCCAAGCUAGCUCAAAAAACAGUAGAGGGGGUACAAGACAUUAUGAAAACCAAUCCUGAACACUGGAGUAGAGAUUUUUUCAAACUUGGCUCAUAUUGUGAUUUUGUGGAAAACAAUAUGUGUGAGUCAUUCAACAACUCCAUCAUGAGAGCAAGGUUUUAUCCUAUGAUUACUAGUCAUGAGAUCAUAAGAAAUAAGGUCAUGGCUAGAAUUUAGGAAAACAGAGCAAAACUUGAGAAGUGGAGUGGAACAAUAUGCCCUAAUAUUUUCAAAAAGUUGUAGCUGAACAUAAAGAGCUAGAAGGUGCAAUGUGCUAUGGAAUGGCAAAGAAGCAUUUGAAGUGCAGGAAGGUGAUUACAGAAGAUUUAGAGUUAACCUUGAUAUGUGGACUUGCGCAUGCAUAUAUUGGGAGCUCUCUCGAUUGUCUUGUUGUCAUGCAAUUAGUGCAGUAUACACUAAAGGUUUGAGCCUUGAUGACUUCAUUGCACCUUGUUACUUCAUCAGCACAUAUAAAAAGAUUUAUGACCAUGUGCAACAACCAGUAGAGGGCAAAGAUAGUUGGCCUAUAUCUACAAACUCUAGACCUGACCCUCCUAUUAGAGUUAACAACAAGCUUGGGAGGAAGAAGACAGAAAGAACUAGAGAGGAGAAGGAGAAGCCCAACAACAAUUUUUUUUCAAGAAAAGGAGUUAAGAUGAGAUGUUCAGUAUGUGGCAGUACACAACACAAUAAGAGGAAGCAUUUAGAAAAAAUAGGAUGAGUGCUAUGUAAAGGCAGCAAAGAGAAGCAGAGCAAAGUCACAAGUUGCAGGCAUGCCUCAGGACCAGGAACCAAAAACUACAAGGAGCAAGCAAAAAAACAUAAAAUCAUCUCAGCAAGCAGGGCCAUCCUCUCAGCCAACAACAAGUUCACAACCACCCACAUCCCAGCCAUCACGGAGUUCACAACCAGCUCCAAGGGCUGCACCACCUCCAAGGGCAACAACACCUCCAGCAGCUCCAAGGGCUGCACCACCUCCAAGGGCUGCCAGGAAAGCACCAGCACCAAGACCAUCUGUGGCUCCCAGGGCUUCAAACUCUCAGCCAAGAACAUCAAAUAUUCCAGCUUAUGGUCAUGGGAGGUUGGAAUGGCUUCUAACAUGAAGGAGGGAAUAGUUUGCCUAUGAAUCAGAGCAUUGGUGAAGUGUAGCAUCAGUGAUAAGCCUGAGCUUUUGUUGAUGUAAAACAUCAUCUUUUGUGGAUGCUGAAUGACAGUGCAAAACUGUUGCAUUAUGUACUUUUGCUCAUGUUGAAUUUAGUUAUGGUGGAUGCUGAAUAACAGUGCAAAACUGCUGCAUUAUGUCUUUUUGCUCAUGUUGAAUUUAGUUAUGAUGGAUGAUGAAUGACAGUGCAAAACUGCUGCAUUAUGUCCUUUUGCUCAUGUUGAAUUUAGUUAUGAUGGAUGA